rnacentral:rRNA from 1 species
GACAGAGGCCUCGAGCGUUAGGCGGAAUCACUGGGCUUAAAGCGUGUGUAGGCGGGUCGUUAAGUACCUUGUGAAAUCCCACGGCUCAACCGUGGAACGGCUGGGUAUACUGGCGACCUUGGGCCACCUAGGGGCAGUCGGAACAAACGGUGGAGCGGUGAAAUGCGUAGAUAUUGGAAAGAACACCGAUGGCGAAGGCACUUUACUGGGCUAUUACUAACACUCAGAGACGAAAGCUAGGGUAGCAAAUGGG